AUUCCAGCUCCAAUAGCGUAUAUUUAAGUUGUUGCAGUUAAAAAGCUCGUAGUUGGAUUUUGGGUCGGGGGCACCGGUCCGCCGUUCCGGUGUGCACUGGUGGCCCCUUCCUUUCUGCCGAGGACGUGCGUCGCACUUAAUUGGGUGGCGUUCGGAGUCGGCGUUGUUACUUUGAAAAAAUUAGAGUGUUCAAAGCAAGCCAUCGCUCUGAAUACAUUAGCAUGGAAUAACAUGAUAGGACUCUGGUCUUAUUUUGUUGGUUUCCGAGACUGGAGUAAUGAUUAAGAGGGACAGUCGGGGGCAUCCGUAUUUCAUUGUCAGAGGUGAAAUUCUUGGAUUUAUGAAAGACGAACUUCUGCGAAAGCAUCUGCCAUGGAUGUUUUCAUCG
rnacentral:rRNA from 1 species